CAGAACCUUACCAGGGUUUGACAUCCUGAGACCGGCCCUUAAUAGGGUUUUUCCCGCAAGGGACUCAGAGACAGGUGCUGCAUGGCUGUCGUCAGCUCGUGUCGUGAGAUGUUGGGUUAAGUCCCGCAACGAGCGCAACCCUCGCCUUUAGUUGCCAUCAUUCAGUUGGGCACUCUAGAGGGACCGCCGGCGACAAGCCGGAGGAAGGUGGGGAUGACGUCAAGUCCUCAUGGCCCUUACACCCUGGGCUACACACGUGCUACAAUGGCGGUGACAGUGGGCAGCUAACUCGCAAGAGCAAGCUAAUCCCAAAAAACCGUCCCAGUUCAGAUUGUACUCUGCAACUCGAGUACAUGAAGGUGGAAUCGCUAGUAAUCGCAGAACAGCAGGCUGCGGUGAAUACGUUCCCGGGCCUUGUACACACCGCCCGUCACGGCAUGGGAGUUGGUUCUACCUUAAGACGGCGCGCUAACCGCAAGGGGGCAGCCGGCCACGGUAGGAUCAGCGACUGGGCCGAAGUCGUAACAAGGUAGCCGUA
rnacentral:rRNA from 1 species